GGACUACAGGGGUUUCUAAUCCUGUUUGCUCCCCACGCUUUCGCGCCUUAGCGUCAGUACCGAGCCAGGAAAUCGCCUUCGCCACUGGUGUUCUUGCGAAUAUCUACGAAUUUCACCUCUACACUCGCAAUUCCAUUUCCCUCUCUCGGCCUCUAGCCUGACAGUAUUCAAUGCUAUUCCUAGGUUAAGCCCAGGGCUUUCACACCAAACUUAUCAAGCCGCCUACGCGCCCUUUACGCCCAGUAAUUCCGAACAACGCUAGCUCCCUUCGUAUUACCGCGGCUGCUGGCAC
rnacentral:rRNA from 1 species